GUUGUAUAGUUAAGUGACUAAGCGUACAAGGUGGAUGCCUUGGCAAUCAGAGGCGAAGAAGGACGUGCUAAUCUGCGAAAAGCUUGGAUGAGUCGAUAAGAGGCGUUUAAUCCAAGAUAUCCGAAUGGGGAAACCCAGUAGAUGAAGAAUCUACUAUCAACAAGUGAAUUCAUAGCUUGUUGAGGCAAACCGGGAGAACUGAAACAUCUAAGUACCCCGAGGAAAAGAAAUCAACCGAGAUUUCGUCAGUAGCGGCGAGCGAAAGCGAAAGAGCCAGUAAGUGAUAGCAGUAUAGUUAGGAGAAUGUGUUGGGAAGCACAAUCAAAGAGGGUGAUAAUCCCGUAUCUAAAAACCAUAUUGUAGUACUAAGCUAACGAGAAGUAGGGCGGGACACGUGAUAUCCUGUUUGAAGAAGGGGGGCCCAUCCUCCAAGGCUAAAUACUCCUGAUUGACCGAUAGUGAACCAGUACUGUGAAGGAAAGGCGAAAAGAACCCCGGUGAGGGGAGUGAAAUAGAACCUGAAACCUUGUACGUACAAGCAGUGGGAGCCC
rnacentral:rRNA from 1 species